AUACGUAGGGGGCGAGCGUUGUCCGGAAUGAUUGGGCGUAAAGGGCGCGUAGGCGGCCCGGUAAGUCUGGAGUGAAAGUCCUGCUUUUAAGGUGGGAAUUGCUUUGGAUACUGUCGGGCUUGAGUGCAGGAGAGGUAAGUGGAAUUCCCAGUGUAGCGGUGAAAUGCGUAGAGAUUGGGAGGAACACCAGUGGCGAAGGCGACUCUCUGGACUGAUACUGACGCUGAGGCACGAAAGCGUGGGGAGCAAACAGGAUUAGAUACCCUGGUAGUCCACGCUAUAAACGAUGAGUGCUAGGUGUCGGGGGUCAAACCUCGGUGCCGCAGUUAACACAUUAAGCACUCCGCCUGGGGAGUACGGCCGCAAGGCUGAAACUCAAAGGAAUUGACGGGG
rnacentral:rRNA from 1 species